AGUGAACGCUGGCGGUAGGCCUAACACAUGCAAGUCGAACGGCAGCACAGUAAGAGCUUGCUCUUACGGGUGGCGAGUGGCGGACGGGUGAGGAAUACAUCGGAAUCUACUUUUUCGUGGGGGAUAACGUAGGGUAACUUACGCUAAUACCGCAUACGACCUACGGGUGAAAGCAGGGGAUCUUCGGACCUUGCGCGAUUGAAUGAGCCGAUGUCGGAUUAGCUAGUUGGCGGGGUAAAGGCCCACCAAGGCGACGAUCCGUAGCUGGUCUGAGAGGAUGAUCAGCCACACUGGAACUGAGACACGGUCCAGACUCCUACGGGAGGCAGCAGUGGGGAAUAUUGGACAAUGGGCGCAAGCCUGAUCCAGCCAUACCGCGUGGGUGAAGAAGGCCUUCGGGUUGUAAAGCCCCUUUGUUGGGAAAGAAAAGCAGCAGGUUAAUACCCCGCUGUUCUGACGGUACCCAAAGAAUAAGCACCGGCUAACUUCGUG
rnacentral:rRNA from 1 species